UGCCUUCGGGAAUUAUUUUAGCGGCGGACGGGUGAGUAACACGUGGGUAACCUGCCCUUCACAGGGGGAUAACAAUUAGAAAUGAUUGCUAAAACCCCAUAAGCUCCCACCAAGGCAUCUUGGAGCGAGAAAAUAUUUAUAGGUGGAGGAGGGGCCCGCGACUGAUUAGCUAGUUGGCAGGGUAAAGGCCUACCAAGGCGACGAUCAGUAGCCGACCUGAGAGGGUGACCGGCCACAUUGGGACUGAGACACGGCCCAAACUCCUACGGGAGGCAGCAGUGGGGAAUAUUGCACAAUGGGGGAAACCCUGAUGCAGCAACGCCGCGUGAAGGAUGAAGGGUUUCGGCUCGUAAACUUCUUUAGGCAGGGAAGAAAAAAUGACGGUACCUGCAGAAUAAGCACCGGCUAAAUACGUGCCAGCAGCCGCGGUAAUACGUAUGGUGCAAGCGUUAUCCGGAAUUACUGGGUGUAAAGGGUGAGUAGGCGGUGAGAUAAGUCAUAUGUGAAAGCCCCGGGCUUAACCCGGGGAUUGCAUAAGAAACUGUCUGACUAGAGUACAGGAGAGGUAAGCGGAAUUCCUAGUGUAGCGGUGAAAUGCGUAGAUAUUAGGAAGAACACCAGUGGCGAA
rnacentral:rRNA from 1 species